rnacentral:rRNA from 1 species
UACGUAGGGUGCAAGCGUUGUCCGGAAUUAUUGGGCGUAAAGAGCUCGUAGGCGGUUUGUCGCGUCGAAUGUGAAAACCCGGGGCUCAACUCCGGGCCUGCAUUCGAUACGGGCAGACUAGAGUUCGGUAGGGGAGUCUGGAAUUCCUGGUGUAGCGGUGAAAUGCGCAGAUAUCAGGAGGAACACCGGUGGCGAAGGCGGGACUCUGGGCCGAUACUGACGAUCAGGUGCGAAAGCGUGGGGAGCAAACAGG